GCCACCUGAAGUUCUCGCCGAUGAUUGAUAAAGAACAACCUAAUAUCUGUCACCAUAAAAACAUAUUGGGUAUCUGUCUCUCCUACAUGUUUCCCCUCCCACUCUCUCUCGCUCUCCCCCUCUCUCUCUCUCUCUGUGUGAAUGCCAAAGGCCUCUCAACCCUCAGUCCAGAUUUAGACCUCAGCUUUUCCCAGACAUUCAGACCCAGCUGGCUGGAGUUGCUGGCCGGUAGUGUACAGAUUCCCUUGUCUCCCUCGUUCUUCCUCUCCUUCUCUGCUCUUCUUUGCCAUGCCUGGACUCUUUCAUCACUUUUUUUAUCUCAUCUGGUAGGAAUGCCUGCCGGAUGUCUGAGUUGGACAGCGGGCCAAGGGUUGUAGUCCAGGGCCUCGCCAGUCGUUCUGGUUCCACAGAGGCAGACUUCCUGCUCCACUUGCCCAACCAUGGAGCCUCUCGCAGAGGUGGCCGUACAUAUGCAACAGAUGCUUUUGCGCCCUCUGCAGACACAGACCCUGAGACGUUUAUAUACAUGAACUUCAUGAAGAGUCACUGCUGCUAUGAUGCCAUCCCCACCAGCUCCAAACUGGUCAUUUUUGACACAACACUACAGGUGAAGAAGGCUUUCUUCGCUCUCGUGGCUAACGGUGUGAGGGCAGCACCACUGUGGGACAGCAAGCAGAAGUGUUUUGUGGGUAUGCUGACCAUCACUGACUUCAUCAACAUUCUCCAUCGUUAUUACAAGUCUCCUCUGGUUCAGAUCUAUGAGCUGGAAGAGCAGAAGAUAGAGACAUGGAGAGAGAUCUAUCUGCAGUACUCUGUCAACAGACUGAUCAGCAUCACUCCUGACUGCAGUCUGUUUGAUGCCAUCUACUCCUUGUUGAAGAAUAAGAUUCACCGGCUGCCGAUCAUCGACCCGACAUCAGGAAAUGUCCUCCAUAUCCUCACACACAAACGCAUCCUCAAGUUCCUCCACAUCUUUGGAUCUAUGAUUCCUAAACCCAGAUUUCUUCAGAAGCGGAUCAAUGAAGUGGCGAUUGGUACCUUCAGACAGAUUGCGACAGUCCAGGAAACGGCCUCUGUCUAUGACGCUCUGUCCAUUUUUGUAGAGAGAAGAGUGUCUGCGCUGCCUGUAGUCAAUGAGCAAGGUAAAGUCGUGGCGCUGUACUCCAGGUUUGAUGUCAUUAAUCUCGCAGCCCAAAAAAACUACAACAACCUGAACAUGACAAUGCAGGAGGCCAUUUCCUCCAGGGCCUGCUUUAUGGAGGGAGUGCUCAAGUGUUACCCUUACGAAACACUUGAGACCAUCAUCGACCGCAUCGCCAAGGCUGAGGUGCAUCGUUUGGUGUUGGUUGACAGUGAUGACGCGGUGAGAGGGAUUGUCUCUUUAUCCGACCUUCUCCAAGCCCUGGUUCUCACUCCUGCAGGUAUUGAUGCACUGUACUCCUAACGCCAAUCCUUCAAUUCAUCCCUUCUUUCCCUCAAUCUUCGGUUAUCUGUCCGUCUACCUUCAAAUCCUCGAAGCUUCCUGCUCCUUCUGUUGAUCUGUGCUCCUUUUCCUGUAAAAAACUCUUCUUCAUCUUCAACUUUUCGUCCUCCUAAAGACAUUAAGGGUCUUUCUUCUCUUCCUGUGAAAUGUCCUGAUGUCAGAGAUCCAACUCUGUCAAUUUCCUCCUUCCCUGAAUUCUCCUGAUCCUUUCAAGCAUACUUACCACGACUGUCUCCUUCUGCUCCUUCAAAAUCAACCAACCAUCCGAUCUGAAACUCUCAUUGGGGACAAACAUCCUUACAUUUCUUCUUCUAAAACUCUCAUUUGAAGCAUUCAACUAAAUGUUUCCAGAGCGUGCUCUGAUCGAUCCUGCACCUGGAAAAAUAAACAAACGCCCCCUGCCCAGCCACAAUCAACUUUGCUUUCACGAUCAAAUUCUUAAUCUUCCAAUCCAACUUUAAAACCAGUUCAGUUACCGCCACCAAAAUCCUGCAAUCCUACCAACCAACCAACCAAGUUUCCUUAUCGUCUACGUUCUACAAAGUCUGACACCCCCCCCCCCCCAACGUCUUCACGCUGCAGUCCCUCCUCUGAAACCACCAUGCCAACAGCACCUCUUAGCCAACACAUCCCAGAUAUUUACGAUAAAUCGAGCUGUCAAGACUGAAGAAAACAAGAUGAAGAUUGACCACAUUAAACAAGACUCUGAGGUGGCAAAAUAAAUUUGCAGAGCAGGGCUGUGGCUGAGAAGUCACUGGUUUCAAUCCCAGUCUGGAGGAAAAAUAUGGAAAGAGAAAGUGAAAAUCACUCUUCUCUAUGAGCACCAAUACUGUGCCCUGGGAAGUGUGUGCUGGGAAGUUACCAGUGUUGAACUUUAUCACGGGUGUGACUGGAAAGCAGCGUUGAACUGAUGAUGCACACAUCAAGAGACUUUUAAACUUGACUUAUUAAGCAUCAAAUUUGAGUUUAUUUAGCAAGUUCUGUUAACUUGGAAAUUGAGUUGUUGAUACGACAUGUAAAAAAAGUGGUUUUGACUUUCUAGUCUUGGAAUGAUUUAAAAUUAGUCAUUCAUAUAUUGGAAAUAUUGGAUCUCUGGAAUUAGUUUUUGUUUUUUAGCACAAGGAAAAUAUGCAAAACAAGAAAGGGAAAAAGUAUACAAUGGUGAUGGUAAAAAUAUGCCACAACACGAACAUCAAACCCAAUCAAUAAAAGAAUAGACCAUUAAAAUGAUAAUCAAGAGACAUCGUCAUCAGAAGAAGAGCACAAACGAGCAAGGCAAGAGACAUUUCAAGGCAAGGAGCGAGAUAUAGAUAGAUGUAUACGAUCUUUUAGACUUUCUAUUCAUUUCUACCAUAUAUCUCAGGAUGGGAAUCGCUUUACAGAUUUUUGUUAUUGGAUCUUGGAAUUGUGAUCACAUUUUUGUAAAUGCACUUAUGUUUUAAUCACUGUGAAAAAAAGAAUAAAUGUUUUGCUUUAAAGUGUACUGGUAACUACAAUACGUAGAGACACUGUAGUUUAAUUUGAUAUGGUGAAGAACCCUCAGUGUAAUCUAGGACAGUUGCUGGAUCAAAUACAAGGGUUAUAGCUCAAUAAUAACAAGGUAAUAAGGGGGUUAAUACUAAAUGAACAGUGUAAUACCAUUGCAAUUACAACUAUAAUGUAUAGGCGGACUGGCAAUGCAAUAAGAGCCGAUGCACUCUUGGGCCGAUUUGGGCCGCUGGGAAAAAAAAAAAAAAAUUUGCAACACUGGUGUUUCACACUAGUUUGAGUAAAAUAUGCAAGACUGUACGGCUGCAGCCUGGAGCCUCCUGUCUGGUGCCGUCGGGCUUCUACUUUAUAAAAUAAAAGCUUGCGUCUACUAUGUCUUCGUACUUUUGUGUUUUGGGUGUUUAAGUAUGUAAUAAUAUGUUUUAAAUAUGCAAGCAUUUCCAUCGUAUUCGAAGAUGGUGCCUUGGUAGUUUAUUUGAAGGUGUUAUGAAUUGUGUGAAUUAUUUCAUUUUGAAAGCCUGUAAGUGCGCCUCAUGCUGCUGGUGCCAUAAUCUCACGUGAGCCUGGUUUUUGCAAUUAUAAAGCAAAUAAUGUCCCUGUAAGAAAUUGGGCCAGUAAGGGACGGAAUUACCAGGUACAAAUUUUUGUCCCAGUCCGCCCUUGUAGCCUGGUAAUAUCUUGGUAAUAAUUAGUGGUGAUAUUGUGGUUCAAUCUUUGUAAUAGGGUAAUAAUGGAGCAAAAAGAUUAGAGUAAUAUCGGGUAAUAAAAACAAGACAACGUAAGGUGGAUAAGCAGGUUAGCAAGCUACUAUAUUAGAAAAUAGGGAAACGGGUAAUUAUAAGGGAUAACAAAAUGUAAUAUGCUUACAAUGUGAAAGUGAUAUUAAAGGUGCAGUAGGUAAGACUUAUAAAACUAACUUGCUGUCAUAUUUGCUGAAACUGACCCUAAGUUCUAGUAGAACUACAUGAAUCAGGUAAUAUGUUAAUCACUGCUCAUCACGCAUUCAUUCUCCCUUGUGGGGGGAGGGGCUUAGGAGACCGGUUUGGGCUUUAGCGGAAAGGGGGGAGGGACUGAGAAGUUGUCAAUGUUCACAUUUUUUGGCUAAGGCCUGGAUCUUCUCAAUCCUACCUACAGCACCUUUAAUGUUAUGUUUUUGCAGUAACCAUAGGUAAGUAUCAGUAUAAAAGCCUCAGAAUUACAUGGGAAUUUCUGUUAAAUUUACACUUUAAUCGGUGUGAUUUCCUCUAAGUGAUUUGGUAAUAAUUCUUUAAACUUAACACCAAAAGCCAGAGGUCAUUCACUGGAAACACAUCUGGUGGUUUCAGUGAAAUAAAUGAAUUAAAAUGAAUGAAUGAAUUAUGGCGGGAAAAUACCUGUGUUUUUAUUUAUUUAUUUUUUUUAAGUUAUCUUCAAUCCAAAUGCUGUCUGCUGAUCCUCUCUGACUGACGAUGUGUCACUGCUCUGUUUACCAGGGGUGGGUUUGUUAACUCUACCACUUCCAUACAUCCUGGUACAUCUCAUGAUUACCAGGCUACAUGACACACACACACACACACACACACACACACGCAUACACACACACACACACGUACACGCACACACUAGGUAAAUAGCUCUGCCUCUGCAGAGGAAGUCGGAAAGCUUUGAGCGACAAGUUAAUGCAUUGCUGGUUUAAUUCUUGUUGUGGGAUGUUUUUACAAUAACUAUGAUAUAAAAUAUUGCCAGACUUA